AACGAACGCUGGCGGCAUGCCUAACACAUGCAAGUCGAACGAGACCUUCGGGUCUAGUGGCGCACGGGUGCGUAACGCGUGGGAACCUGCCCUUAGGUUCGGAAUAACUCCCCGAAAGGGGUGCUAAUACCGGAUAAUGUCUUCGGACCAACGAUUUAUCGCCUUUGGAUGGGCCCGCGUUGGAUUAGCUAGUUGGUAGGGUAAAAGCCUACCAAGGCGACGAUCCAUAGCUGGUCGGAGAGGAUGAUCAGCCACACUGGGACUGAGACACGGCCCAGACUCGGACGGGAGGCAGCAGUGGAGUGUAUUGGGGACGGGGCGAAAGCCUAAUCCAGCAAUGCCGCGGGAGUGAUGAAGGCCUUAGUGUUGUAAAGCUCUUUUACCCGGGAUGAGAAUGACAGUAACGGGAGAAUAAGCACCGGCUAACUACGUG
rnacentral:rRNA from 1 species